UUCGGAUUGUAGGCUGCAACUCGCCUACAUGAAGUCGGAGUUGCUAGUAAUCGCGGAUCAGAAUGCCGCGGUGAAUGCGUUCCCGGGUCUUGUACACACCGCCCGUCACACCAUGGAAGUUGGGGGGCGCCCGAAGUUGCCUAAGAAAUAAGGUACCUAAGGCGAAACCAAUGACUGGGGUGAAGUCGUAACAAGGUACC
rnacentral:rRNA from 1 species